rnacentral:rRNA from 1 species
GGGCCCGCACAAGCGGUGGAGUAUGUGGUUUAAUUCGAUGCAACGCGAAGAACCUUACCAGGGUUUGACAUCCUGCGAACCUCUUAGAAAUUUGAGGGUGCCUUCGGGAAUGCAGUGACAGGUGGUGCAUGGCUGUCGUCAGCUCGUGUCGUGAGAUGUUGGGUUAAGUCCCGCAACGAGCGCAACCCACGUUUUUAGUUGCCAGCAUUUAGUUGGGCACUCUAGAAAGACCGCCGGUGAUAAACCGGAGGAAGGUGUGGAUGACGUCAAGUCAUCAUGCCCCUUACACCCUGGGCUACACACGUACUACAAUGCUACGGACAAAGGGCAGCAAACUCGCGAGAGCUAGCAAAUCCCAUAAACCGUGGCUCAGUUCAGAUCGUAGGCUGCAACUCGCCUACGUGAAGUAGGAAUCGCUAGUAAUCG